UGCAAGUCGAGCGGCAGCACGGGGAGCUUGCUCCCUGGUGGCGAGCGGCGGACGGGUGAGUAAUGCAUAGGAAUCUGCCCGGUAGUGGGGGAUAACGUGGGGAAACCCACGCUAAUACCGCAUACGUCCUACGGGAGAAAGCGGAGGCUCUUCGGACUUCGCGCUAUCGGAUGAGCCUAUGUCGGAUUAGCUGGUUGGUAAGGUAACGGCUUACCAAGGCGACGAUCCGUAGCUGGUCUGAGAGGAUGAUCAGCCACACUGGGACUGAGACACGGCCCAGACUCCUACGGGAGGCAGCAGUGGGGAAUAUUGGACAAUGGGCGAAAGCCUGAUCCAGCCAUGCCGCGUGUGUGAAGAAGGCUUUCGGGUUGUAAAGCACUUUCAGCGAGGAAGAAAGCCUUUGGGUUAAUACCCCAGAGGAAGGACAUCACUCGCAGAAGAAGCACCGGCUAAACUCCGUGCCAGCAGCCGCGGUAAUACGGAGGGUGCGAGCGUUAAUCGGAAUUACUGGGCGUAAAGCGCGCGUAGGUGGCUUGGCCGCCGGUUGUGAAAGCCCCGGGCUCAACCUGGGAACGGCAUCCGGAACGGCCAGGCUAGAGUGCAGGAAAGGAAGGUAGAAUUCCCGGUGUAGCGGUGAAAUGCGUAGAGAUCGGGAGGAAUACCAGUGGCGAAGGCGGCCUUCUGGCCUGACACUGACACUGAGGUGCGAAAGCGUGGGUAGCAAACAGGAUUAGAUACCCUGGUAGUCCACGCCGUAAACGAUGUCGACUAGCCGUUGGGACCUUUAAGGACUUAGUGGCGCAGUUAACGCGAUAAGUCGACCGCCUGGGGAGUACGGCCGCAAGGUUAAAACUCAAAUGAAUUGACGGGGGCCCGCACAAGCGGUGGAGCAUGUGGUUUAAUUCGAUGCAACGCGAAGAACCUUACCUACCCUUGACAUCCUGCGAACCCGGAAGAGAUUCCGGGGUGCCUUCGGGAAACGCAGUGACAGGUGCUGCAUGGCUGUCGUCAGCUCGUGUUUGUGAAAUGGUGGGGUUUAAGUCCCCGUAACGAGGCGCAACCCUUGGUCCUUAUUUGCCAGCGAUUCGGGUCGGGAACUCUUAAGGAGACUGCCCGGUGACAAACCGGAGGAAGGUGGGGACGACGUCAAGUCAUCAUGGCCCUUACGGGUAGGGCUACACACGUGCUACAAUGGCCGGUACAAAGGGUUGCGAGACCGCGAGGUGGAGCGAAUCCCAGAAAGCCGGCCUCAGUCCGGAUCGGAGUCUGCAACUCGACUCCGUGAAGUCGGAAUCGCUAGUAAUCGUGAAUCAGAAUGUCACGGUGAAUACGUUCCCGGGCCUUGUACACACCGCCCGUCACACCAUGGGAGUGGACUGCACCAGAAGUGGUUAGCUUAACCUU
rnacentral:rRNA from 1 species